GGGCUUGGUCCGGCCAGGUCCCGCGAGUAGCGACCCGGCCACCAGGCGCUCUCCAGCGAGUCCCGACCCUAGGCCUGGCUCCAGGGUGGGACCCCGGCUCCGCCGUUCCAUAGACGUCGGAGCCUGGGGAGCGGGAAGAUCGGAGAGAUCAGAGGAGAACCACUGGAGAAGCCGGGGCGGGUGACGCGGCGGCGGUAGCUGGGGUGAAGGCAGGGCGACUUCAGCAACACUUAGUAGGAGGAUUGGAGGAGUUCUUAAGGCGCUUUCCACAUGGAGCUGAGACGAGGGGAAAAGGGGCCAUCAAGGCAGGAGGUCAGUCGAACGCUCCUACAAGCGGAGGAGGAAGGAGGGCGGAAUUCGACACAAACAGUGCGAGGAACCACCAAGUCGCCAGAAACUAGUUGGACAUGUCUCAGCUGAUCGUCGAAGCUCAGCAGAAGAGCGGUGUCUUCCAUGAAGAAGUUCUUUAAAAGUGAUGCCCUGGGAGAUGAUUGGCUGAGGAGGAGUGCGGACCUGCUUGAUUGGAGCAGCCAGUAAGGAGUGAUUGGACGAGACAGGGUGUCUCAGGAUGCUCAGUUCGGCAGCUCCUGGCGGGGCAGCGUCGGAGUGAUGGACAGUAACGGGUGACUCCCAGAAUCGGCUGCAGAGUGUGAUCAAGGGGCUGCAUUGUUGGAGUGAAAUUGGACUUCAGCUGGCUGUGACAAGUUCACUCUAGGGAAACCUUCUUUCCUGUCUGCUCUCAUUUCAAGCUCAACUUCUUGAAUGAUUCAUUGCGCUGAGAAUGGAAAUGAUGAGAGUCUUUGAACGCCAUGAGGAAGCGGUUUCUGCUUGGAGGAGAUUUCCCACUUUUUGCUCUUCCGGUUGUGUUCCUCCAUCUGCUGUGAUUCAGAAACAGGAUUGGGUCGCAGGGGCUGCAGGUCCAGGAGGGAAUCCCAGACAUCCCUCUCCCUAGCUCAUUGUGUGGGACUGCAGUGUUCCCAGGCCAGUCAGGAUAUUUAGUCCCUCCAGCGGGUUCUGGGUCAUCUCCGGGAUCUCCUCCCAGUAGAACGUGCCCGGAAAUCCUCCAAAGGCCAUCCUGAUAACAUUGCCGAACCACCUCAACUGACUCCUUUUGAUGCAAAGAAUCAGUGGCUCUACUUUCCAAAGUGAAGCAGAGGCAUGAAAGGAUCGGAAACUAAAAUAAAUUAAAAUAGUGAGAAAUAA